CGGUGGAUGAUGCGGAUUAAUUCGAUGCAACGCGAAGAACCUUACCAAGGCUUGACAUACACCGGUAACGCCCAGAGAUGGGUGCCCCUUUGUGGUCGGUGGACAGGUGGUGCAUGGUUGUCGUCAGCUCGUGUCGUGAGAUGUUGGGUUAAGUCCCGCAACGAGCGCAACCCUCGUCCUAUGUUGCCAGCGGGUCAUGCCGGGGACUCAUGGGAGACUGCCGGGGUCAACUCGGAGGAAGGUGGGGAUGACGUCAAAUCACCAUGCCCCUUAUGUCUUGGGCUUCACGCAUGCUACAAUGGCCGGUACAAAGGGCUGCGAUACCGCGAGGUGGAGCGAAUCCCAGAAAGCCGGUCUCAGUUCGGAUUGGGGUCUGCAACUCGACCCCAUGAGGUCGGAGUCGCUAGUAAUCGCAGAUCAGCAACGCUGCGUCGAUCGUUCCGGCCUU
rnacentral:rRNA from 1 species